rfam:Candidatus Kaiserbacteria bacterium RIFCSPLOWO2_12_FTLL_53_8 rifcsplowo2_12_scaffold_16337, whole genome shotgun sequence.
CCUCUGCAUUAGGCAGCCGCCCCCUUACCGUUUUCGGUAAGGUGGGAGGAAAGUCCGGACACAGGCUCGCAAGAGCAGCACGGUAGCGGGUAACCCCCGUCCGCCGCAAGGCGAGAGAUGCGAACAGAAACGCCGAUUCCGAAAGGAUAGGCACCCGCAAGGGUGACCUCCGCAGAAAUGCGGAGAUGCAACGGCAAAAUUCUUACUUCUGUGCAAGGCCGUGCUUGGUCGUGCCGCAUUGAGUUUGAUGAAUUCAGUGCGGCAUGACUGAGAGAGCCGCGCGAGGUGGUUGGCAACAAUCAUCCCAGAUACAUGGCUGCCCCCGACAGAAUCCGGCUUAUCGAUGCAGUGCAGCG